AGCGAACGUUUGCGGCGGGCCUAACACAUGCAAGUCGAACGGGCAGUCCCUUCGGGGCUGUCAGUGGCGCACGGGUGCGUAACACGUAGGUAAUCAACCCUCGGGUUCGGGAUAACACUUCGAAAGGGGUGCUAAUACCGGAUGCGACGGGCGUCUCCUCGGAGAUGCACGGGAAAGAUCCGCAAGGGUCGCCCGAGGACGAGCCUGCGGCCCAUCAGCUUGUUGAUGAGGUAAUGGCUCACCAAGGCUAAGACGGGUAGCUGGUCUGAGAGGAUGAUCAGUCACACUGGAACUGAGACACGGUCCAGACUCCUACGGGA
rnacentral:rRNA from 1 species